GACAGAGGUGCCGAGCGUUAGGCGGAAUCACUGGGCUUAAAGCGUGUGUAGGCGGGCUAUCAAGUACCUUGUGAAAUCCCACGGCUCAACCGUGGAACCGCUGGGUAUACUGGUUGUCUUGAGCCGGCUAGGGGCGAGCGGAACAGACGGUGGAGCGGUGAAAUGCGUAGAUAUCGUCUGGAACGCCGAAGGUGAAAACAGCUCGCUGGGGCCGCGCUGACGCUGAGACACGAAAGCCAGGGGAGCAAACGGG
rnacentral:rRNA from 1 species